rnacentral:rRNA from 1 species
CCUACGGGUGGCAGCAGUGGGGAAUAUUGGGCAAUGGGCGCAAGCCUGACCCAGCAACGCCGCGUGAAGGAAGAAGGCUUGCGGGUGGUAAACUUCUUUUCUGAGGGACGAAGAAAGUGACGGUACCUCAGGAAUAAGCAACGGCUAACGACGUGCCAGCAGCCGCGGUAAUACGUAGGUGGCAAGAGUUAUCCGGAUUUAUUGGGUGUAAAGGGCGUGUAGGGGGGAAAGCUAGUCAGAUGUGAAAACUCAGGGCUCAACCCUGAUCCGGCAUUUGAAACUGUUUCCAUUGAGUGUCUGAGUGGUAAUCGGAAUUCCUAGUGUAGCGGUGAAAUGCGUAGAUAUUAGGAAGAACACCAGUGGCUAAGGCGGAUUACUGGACGAUAACUGACGGUGAGGCGCGAAAGCGUGGGGAGCAAACAGGAUUAGAUACCCGGGUAGUC